AAAGGACUCAACGGCUCUUUACUUUUAUAUAAGAAGGCUGCUCUCUUAAGAAGAAGAUUACGCAACUACAAAAAGUGUAUUCCAAAUCUGUCUACUUCUUAGUUCAAACUCUGUAAUUUUGAGUUAUCAGUGUCUCAAAAGAUAGAGAGAUCUAGAGUACAAACGAAAAUUGUGUCAACUGAUUAGAACUCAAGUGCUAAUUUUGUACGUUGGUGGUAAACACAAAAACCAUCAAUUUUGUAACUUUAUUAAAAAAUCUCAAGAGAACCCUUGUGACCUAUGGGAAACCGGAUGUAAGUACCAUAACUGUACCGAAUCAGUAUAAAUCGUGUGUGUCUUACUAUUGUUCUUUCUUGCUCUUACUCUUUCUGUCUCGUAGUUAGCCAAUUAAUGCUUAUAUUAGUCGACCAAAUUUUAACUAGGCAACAAUCCACCCUUUGCCCCCUUGUACUUUCAAUUGGUAUCAAAGCGUAGCUCACAAUCUGUGCUUUACCGCUGUUGAGAAAAAGGUCAAUGUGAUCCAACACUGUUGUCGGUGCUCUCUUUUAACAAGGGACCUCUCAGGUUCGACCUCCUUAGUUCAAUGGUUAGCACUUUUCUCAUCGGAAAGUUCAUAUGAAAACAUAUACCAUUUCAUAUGACAUCAAAGUAUGGUGUGAAAAGGGAAACCUUCCAAUUCCUCCCACGAACGAUGCAAAUGGUGAAGUCAUCACAUCAAGUGAUCCUCUGGAUUUAGACGAUUAUACUGAUGAACAAGCUGUUGUUAUCACUAUAAAUACAAAAGCAAAAAAUCUACUGUACAACACUAUUAAUGGAGAAGAAUAUGAAAAAAUAUCCAGCUGUGAGACUGCAAAAAAAAUGUGGGAUAAACUGAAUGUCACUUAUGAAUGAACCAACAAAGUGAAAGAGACUAGAAUAAAUCUCCUGAUUAGGGAAUAUGAAUUAUUACAAAUGAAGGAUGGAGAAUUUGUUGAAGAAAUAUUUUUUCCAGAUUCAGCAAUAUCCUUGGAGACCUCAAAUCAUUUGGAAGACCUAUUAAAAGUAGCGAAUGGGUUAGUAAGAUCCUCAGAAGUCUACCUACAAUCCGAUAAUAAUCGCUUUAAAAUGUCAAAAUCUGGACAAAAUCUCUUAUGAUGAACUUGUCGCACCCCUUUUUAAAACCAAACUCUACUAACCCUCCUAAAUAAAUAAAAAGAUUUUAGUAAAAAGCUCGAUAAGGGUUUUCUAAUUAAAACAUAAACAAUAAUGGUGUUAAAAAAAGAAUAACUCAGAAUCGCCACCUUACAUUUGAUUUUGGUGUGCCAGGUUACCGUUUUUAAAAAUAAUUUUCUUUUCAAAAUACCUGAGACUCCAAAACAAAGUCUGCAUCAGAAAUUCGGGUAAGGGGAUUCAGUUGACUCGAGGAGAAGCUGUUAGGCACUCCCCAAGUCCCAUGAAAGUCAUGGUUGCGUACUCAAUUUAGUUGGCUUUUAAAACAUUCGAAUUGAGGUAGAAACUAAAACAAAAAAAUAAACACACAAAAUGCUUGAGGUCAUCACGCCUAAUAAGAGAAAAUGAAAAGGAAAAGAAAAUAAAUUCCUAAGCCAACCAAUAUUAUGACUUUUCUACCAUGCUCGUCAAGGCCCCCAAAAUAUUUACAUAGUUCUUCGGAGCAUACCUCAGAUAAUAUUAUUUACAAAUUUCAUGGGACAUUCCCCGGAUAAAUUUAAUUAAGGAACAACCUCUCGCCUCAAAAUCAAUAAACAAAGGAUGAGAUAGCAACAGACCUUAAAGCAAAGCAAAUUUGAAUCGCAAAAUGUUCAACAUUAGAAACCUUAGACUUAAAUCAGUAUUGAAGCGCGAUCUGAAACCUAGACCAAAACCCGGACAGCAACCUCGAACGAACUCGGCUCAAUCAAAUGAACUCCAUUUCAGGCAUAAAUUCAUGAAGAAGAAACGGUGUAACAAGAUGGAGAGUUGCGGCUGCCUUAGAGGUGUGAGGGUUUUGCUGUUGUCUCGCCGCCUCUCUCCAAUAUUCCGUUCUGCCCCCUCCUUAUACUGUGAGUUUGCCUAUUUUUUUAUCUUUG
rnacentral:lncRNA from 1 species